rnacentral:rRNA from 1 species
GUGGGGAAUAUUGCACAAUGGGCGAAAGCCUGAUGCAGCGACGCCGCGUGAACGAAGAAGUAUUUCGGUAUGUAAAGUUCUAUCAGCAGGGAAGAAGAAAUGACGGUACCUGACUAAGAAGCCCCGGCUAACUACGUGCCAGCAGCCGCGGUAAUACGUAGGGGGCAAGCGUUAUCCGGAUUUACUGGGUGUAAAGGGAGCGCAGGCGGCCCGGCAAGUCUGAUGUGAAAACCCAAGGCUCAACCAUGGGAUUGCAUUGGAAACUGUCGAGCUAGAGUAUCGGAGGGGUAAGUGGAAUUCCUAGUGUAGCGGUGAAAUGCGUAGAUAUUAGGAGGAACACCAGUGGCGAAGGCGGCUUACUGGACGAUAACUGACGCUGAGGCUCGAAAGCGUGGGGAGCAAACAGG